rnacentral:lncRNA from 10 species
AUAAAUAAAUAAGAUAAUUUUUAAUAGCAACGUGUCAACAUAGUGUGACGGGAAGGAGCAUGAUGAGACAGAAGGAAGGUUUAAACUGGGAAAUCUGAGAAAUGGUAUGGUUGUAUGUGGGUUGGCAUUCUUGCAUGAUGGGAGUGGCCACCUGCUUUCAUAUUCUGAAGUCAGAGUGUUCCAGACAGAAGAAAUAGCAAGUGCCGAGAAGCUGGCAUCAGAAAAACAGAGGGGAGAUUUGUGUGGCUGCAGCCGAGGGAGACCAGGAAGAUCUGCAUGGUGGGAAGGACCUGAUGAUACAGAGGAAUUACAACACAUAUACUUAGUGUUUCAAUGAACACCAAGAUAAAUAAGUGAAGAGCUAGUCCGCUGUGAGUCUCCUCAGUGACACAGGGCUGGAUCACCAUCGACGGCACUUUCUGAGUACUCAGUGCAGCAAAGAAAGACUACAGACAUCUCAAUGGCAGGGGUGAGAAAUAAGAAAGGCUGCUGACUUUACCAUCUGAGGCCACACAUCUGCUGAAAUGGAGAUAAUUAACAUCACUAGAAACAGCAAGAUGACAAUAUAAUGUCUAAGUAGUGACAUGUUUUUGCACAUUUCCAGCCCCUUUAAAUAUCCACACACACAGGAAGCACAAAAGGAAGCACAGAGAUCCCUGGGAGAAAUGCCCGGCCGCCAUCUUGGGUCAUCGAUGAGCCUCGCCCUGUGCCUGGUCCCGCUUGUGAGGGAAGGACAUUAGAAAAUGAAUUGAUGUGUUCCUUAAAGGAUGGGCAGGAAAACAGAUCCUGUUGUGGAUAUUUAUUUGAACGGGAUUACAGAUUUGAAAUGAAGUCACAAAGUGAGCAUUACCAAUGAGAGGAAAACAGACGAGAAAAUCUUGAUGGCUUCACAAGACAUGCAACAAACAAAAUGGAAUACUGUGAUGACAUGAGGCAGCCAAGCUGGGGAGGAGAUAACCACGGGGCAGAGGGUCAGGAUUCUGGCCCUGCUGCCUAAACUGUGCGUUCAUAACCAAAUCAUUUCAUAUUUCUAACCCUCAAAACAAAGCUGUUGUAAUAUCUGAUCUCUACGGUUCCUUCUGGGCCCAACAUUCUCCAUAUAUCCAGCCACACUCAUUUUUAAUAUUUAGUUCCCAGAUCUGUACUGUGACCUUUCUACACUGUAGAAUAACAUUACUCAUUUUGUUCAAAGACCCUUCGUGUUGCUGCCUAAUAUGUAGCUGACUGUUUUUCCUAAGGAGUGUUCUGGCCCAGGGGAUCUGUGAACAGGCUGGGAAGCAUCUCAAGAUCUUUCCAGGGUUAUACUUACUAGCACACAGCAUGAUCAUUACGGAGUGAAUUAUCUAAUCAACAUCAUCCUCAGUGUCUUUGCCCAUACUGAAAUUCAUUUCCCACUUUUGUGCCCAUUCUCAAGACCUCAAAAUGUCAUUCCAUUAAUAUCACAGGAUUAACUUUUUUUUUUAACCUGGAAGAAUUCAAUGUUACAUGCAGCUAUGGGAAUUUAAUUACAUAUUUUGUUUUCCAGUGCAAAGAUGACUAAGUCCUUUAUCCCUCCCCUUUGUUUGAUUUUUUUUCCAGUAUAAAGUUAAAAUGCUUAGCCUUGUACUGAGGCUGUAUACAGCCACAGCCUCUCCCCAUCCCUCCAGCCUUAUCUGUCAUCACCAUCAACCCCUCCCAUGCACCUAAACAAAAUCUAACUUGUAAUUCCUUGAACAUGUCAGGCAUACAUUAUUCCUUCUGCCUGAGAAGCUCUUCCUUGUCUCUUAAAUCUAGAAUGAUGUAAAGUUUUGAAUAAGUUGACUAUCUUACUUCAUGCAAAGAAGGGACACAUAUGAGAUUCAUCAUCACAUGAGACAGCAAAUACUAAAAGUGUAAUUUGAUUAUAAGAGUUUAGAUAAAUAUAUGAAAUGCAAGAGCCACAGAGGGAAUGUUUAUGGGGCACGUUUGUAAGCCUGGGAUGUGAAGCAAAGGCAGGGAACCUCAUAGUAUCUUAUAUAAUAUACUUCAUUUCUCUAUCUCUAUCACAAUAUCCAACAAGCUUUUCACAGAAUUCAUGCAGUGCAAAUCCCCAAAGGUAACCUUUAUCCAUUUCAUGGUGAGUGCGCUUUAGAAUUUUGGCAAAUCAUACUGGUCACUUAUCUCAACUUUGAGAUGUGUUUGUCCUUGUAGUUAAUUGAAAGAAAUAGGGCACUCUUGUGAGCCACUUUAGGGUUCACUCCUGGCAAUAAAGAAUUUACAAAGAGCUACUCAGGACCAGUUGUUAAGAGCUCUGUGUGUGUGUGUGUGUGUGUGAGUGUACAUGCCAAAGUGUGCCUCUCUCUCUUUGACCCAUUAUUUCAGACUUAAAAACAAGCAUGUUUUCAAAUGGCACUAUGAGCUGCCAAUGAUGUAUCACCACCAUAUCUCAUUAUUCUCCAGUAAAUGUGAUAAUAAUGUCAUCUGUUAACAUAAAAAAAGUUUGACUUCACAAAAGCAGCUGGAAAUGGACAACCACAAUAUGCAUAAAUCUAACUCCUACCAUCAGCUACACACUGCUUGACAUAUAUUGUUAGAAGCACCUCGCAUUUGUGGGUUCUCUUAAGCAAAAUACUUGCAUUAGGUCUCAGCUGGGGCUGUGCAUCAGGCGGUUUGAGAAAUAUUCAAUUCUCAGCAGAAGCCAGAAUUUGAAUUCCCUCAUCUUUUAGGAAUCAUUUACCAGGUUUGGAGAGGAUUCAGACAGCUCAGGUGCUUUCACUAAUGUCUCUGAACUUCUGUCCCUCUUUGUGUUCAUGGAUAGUCCAAUAAAUAAUGUUAUCUUUGAACUGAUGCUCAUAGGAGAGAAUAUAAGAACUCUGAGUGAUAUCAACAUUAGGGAUUCAAAGAAAUAUUAGAUUUAAGCUCACACUGGUCAAAAGGAACCAAGAUACAAAGAACUCUGAGCUGUCAUCGUCCCCAUCUCUGUGAGCCACAACCAACAGCAGGACCCAACGCAUGUCUGAGAUCCUUAAAUCAAGGAAACCAGUGUCAUGAGUUGAAUUCUCCUAUUAUGGAUGCUAGCUUCUGGCCAUCUCUGGCUCUCCUCUUGACACAUAUUAGCUUCUAGCCUUUGCUUCCACGACUUUUAUCUUUUCUCCAACACAUCGCUUACCAAUCCUCUCUCUGCUCUGUUGCUUUGGACUUCCCCACAAGAAUUUCAACGACUCUCAAGUCUUUUCUUCCAUCCCCACCACUAACCUGAAUGCCUAGACCCUUAUUUUUAUUAAUUUCCAAUAGAUGCUGCCUAUGGGCUAUAUUGCUUUAGAUGAACAUUAGAUAUUUAAAGCUCAAGAGGUUCAAAAUCCAACUCAUUAUCUUCUCUUUCUUUCACCUCCCUGCUCCUCUCCCUAUAUUACUGAUUGCACUGAACAGCAUGGUCCCCAAUGUAGCCAUGCAAAUGAGAAACCCAGUGGCUCCUUGUGGUACAUGCAUGCAAGACUGCUGAAGCCAGAAGGAUGACUGAUUACGCCUCAUGGGUGGAGGGGACCACUCCUGGGCCUUCGUGAUUGUCAGGAGCAAGACCUGAGAUGCUCCCUGCCUUCAGUGUCCUCUGCAUCUCCCCUUUCUAAUGAAGAUCCAUAGAAUUUGCUACAUUUGAGAAUUCCAAUUAGGAACUCACAUGUUUUAUCUGCCCUAUCAAUUUUUUAAACUUGCUGAAAAUUAAGUUUUUUCAAAAUCUGUCCUUGUAAAUUACUUUUUCUUACAGUGUCUUGGCAUACUAUAUCAACUUUGAUUCUUUGUUACAACUUUUCUUACUCUUUUAUCACCAAAGUGGCUUUUAUUCUCUUUAUUAUUAUUAUUUUCUUUUACUACUAUAUUACGUUGUUAUUAUUUUGUUCUCUAUAGUAUCAAUUUAUUUGAUUUAGUUUCAAUUUAUUUUUAUUGCUGACUUUUAAAAUAAGUGAUUCGGGGGGUGGGAGAACAGGGGAGGGAGAGCAUUAGGACAAAUACCUAAUGCAUGUGGGACUUAAAACCUAGAUGAUGGGUUGAUAGGUGCAGCAAACCACUAUGGCACACGUAUACCUGUGUAACAAACCUACACAUUCUGCACAUGUAUCCCAGAACGUAAAGUAAAAUUUAAAAAAAAGUGAUCCUUUGCCAUGUUUGUUAGCCUUUUUCUACAUACAGUAGUUCACUUUUCCACUUAUAAAUUUAUUUUUUUAAGGUAGAAAAUUGCACACAUCGCACAUGCUCAUCCCUUUGUCUCCAUAGCCAAAGACACUGCUUUGCUCCAGUCCUGCAGCAGCUUCAACCUGGCCUGUUAAUAGCAAUGGCCUCCACGAUGCUUUCAUGGUCACUAGACAGUCCUCUCCAAUCCCGCCUCCCACUGCCCACAGGAGAAAGCCCCGUCUAGUUGCACAGUGCCGAAGGCCUUAGAGCCCAGCUCCUCCCGACUUCCUCUCCUGUGACCGCAGCUUCCGGCCCUGUCUGUGCUGCCGCAGCUUCCCACAUCUCCAUGGUCACCAAGCGUUCCUUCCCACACAUGGCCUCGGAACAUUCCCUGUCUAGGAUGCCUUUUCCCCCUUUCUUCCACCUAGCUUCUCCAUCCUUUAAGAUUCGGCUCAAGAGUCCCUGACUUCUGAAGCCAUUACCAGCAACUAAAGUUCUUUGUGCCCUCACCUGGUUUUCUAAUAUUUGUCAAUAGACUAUGAGAGCCUUAUAACUCACAGGACCUAUUUCUUUGAAAGAUUUGUGUCUCCUAAAGACAUGGCAUUUCCUAGGUAAUAAUUUCCCUAGUUUUACUGAAGACAUAAGAGUCAAAACACCAUCAAGCAACCAUCAGAUGUUAACUCACCAAACAGAUAUAUUCUAGUCGAAAGAAACAUCUCUUACCGUGGCUAGAGUUACCACAAGUAAAUGAUUGUGAAUUCAGUUGAUAGUUAUUAUAUAUACUGGACAUUAAACUCACAAACCACUACUUUCCUCUUUGUAAACUUCUUAAGGUGCACUGUAGCACAGUGGUCCCAGGCAUGCAUUUGGAGCCAGAGUUCCUGGAUUGAAAGGCGUCUCUAUUCACCAGCCAUGUGCCCUUGGGGAAAAGCUCAAUCCUGCUCAUCUGUAAAAUGGGGGUGUUGACAACAAUGACAGUGUGUGGCAAGUAUUGAAUAAAUGCACAAAGAGCACUUAAAGCAGUGCUUGACACAACUUAAACAUUUGAAAUUUGUUCAUUAUCAUCACUAUUCCAAUUUGACAAUGAAGACAACCUGAGUGGGGCCACAUCUGGUGACUGGAGAUGGCAGAGAUCACAAAUCUUAUAAGAAGAGAGAGAGACUCAUAUUUGCAAGUAGAGAGAAACUAAUUAAUUCUUGACACCUGGUUAGCACUCAAAACAGGUCUGGUUCAUGGAAUUAAAUGAGUCAGGUCCCAAUCUGUGUCUCUGUUUUAUUAAUGUGAAUCUCAGGAAAGGGUAUGUAUAUAAGCUUCAAGAUGGAGUUAAGGUAGCUCUAUCCUGGCUGUGCCUUGUUAGGAAGAGCAAGUAUCAUACAAACUCUCAAGGAUCCUUCUCUCCCAGGGAAGACUCGUGGGAGGGAGGGCCUAGUAGGAGCUUGAGGUAUUUCCUCAUAAUUUUCUUCAGCCUCCACCCUCAUAUUUUCAGAUGGACAAUAGAUAUGUUUACAUUUUUGUGAAAAGUACUUUGCAUGCACAGCUUCAAGACAAGCCCCUUCAAGUAUUUAUAUUGCCAUCUUGAGCCAAUAUAAAAAUCAAGAAACUUCACCUUCCAGAUAAUUCCUCCUGCUUUGAUAGUGUUUUACCUGUGACGAUGGGCUUCAUAUCCACUGACCUUUCAAACAUCAUGACUCUUUGAUGUAACCAUAGCAAUCACUAUUAUUCCCAUUUUACAAAAGAAGAAAUGGGGCUUGAAGAGGUUUUGACUUGCUGAAGUUUAUGGCACUAGUAGAUCAUGGAGCCAAGACUCGACUCCCAGACUGUAAAUCUCUCAUCCAGUGGUCUUCUCACUGUAUCCAGGAAUCACACCUUCUUUCCAAAUAAAAGCUGUUACUCUAGGGGGCUCCAAUGUGGAGGCCUCUCCUCUGCAAAUAGCACUUGGUGGAUCAGCAGCAAUAUUCAAAACAGAGACGACUACUGGCACAUGCAGCUUCCCUAGAAGGCCCUCCAUUAGGAGUCGACCAAGGAGCAAGGUAGGAACUCUUCAAUUAGAUACCACCAAGCAUCCCCGCAAGGUUUCCCCACACACUUAUGGCUGGGAGACAGGGCUAUGGUCAGUGAGGAGAGUUUUCUGCUUCACCAUUGAUUAACAUUCUCCUGCCUGGGCCUCUCCUCUCUCCUCUCACAUCCUGAAAGUCCUGGGUGAUUGACAACCAGGAAUUAUUGUCUACGAAUCUUCAUUAACAUCUUGGUGGUCCCUAAUGAUGCAUCAGAUAUGGAGGGGCUGGGCAGGGGAUUCUUCUUAGAGGAGCUCAUGGCCCUGGUUCUAAGAAUGAUGCAAGAAGAUCCUCAGAUAAAUGUGCAACCCCCUCUUUAUCAUGAACAAGGGUCAAAAAGCAAAGGUAGUAGGGGUGGGGCCACUUCUAAGUUAAUUAAGCCUUGGGAAGUUGCAACAUGAAUUUCCAGAUGGGCCAAUAAAAUGCAGGAACUGAUAAAGAGUCCUUGUUCCAAGGGUUUGAAUGCUCUUUUUCUCCAUGAAGCUUCCUCUGAACCCUCCAGGCUGACUUUGUUCAUACUCCAAGUAAGCAUGCAGGUUUACUAGAAGGCGGUUUUCUAAAAGCUAGGCUACCUUCUGAGAGCAGCUUGAGGAAAGAGGCCAUGUCUUUGUGUCCCAACAAUUCCCAUGCUAGCACAUGGCCCAGUUUGUUGCAAUAAUGAAUUAAUCAAUAGAUUAUUUAGUGAUAUGUCAAUUAUAGAAAACUACAGCACUUCUAGCCACAGUGACCUCUAGUUAACUAGUUAAUGGGGAAUUUUCAUGCCAGUAAAACAUAAGAACAUAUAAUCAGUCACUUCUGACAUCUGUAUUCUCAAAUCUAAGAAGCAGGCCACAAUAAAACUGCUACUCUCCCUCUCUCUAGGUACCAUUUGAUGUAGUUGCCAUUUGUUUUGUACCCACCAGCAGUAACCCACUUCCCACCCUGACUCCCAGGAAAGCUGCAUUUAAUUAAAUUAGGAUCGGUGCAGGAAAAGCAAAGGAAAAAAGUCCACAAUAGAUCUUAUAAAAAUAAGAAGGAGAAAGGUUGUGCUUUCUCAUAUUCACUGGAUGUGGAUGUGUGUUUGCCAUAAAUGAGACCUGCUGUGAGAAUGAUGCUGGGUUUCCCAUCUGGCAAAUAUCAGAUUGAGACACACAACAAGAAAUGAUGUUUUAUUCUUGAAUUAAUUCCAUUCAGUUUAUUUGGAGUGUCAUCAUAUUCAAUAAGCACUCAAGAAACAACAUGAUUGGAAAUCCAAUGAGGCUUCCAAAUACAAUGGAAGACAGUUAAUGACCAAACUUUUUGAAGUCAAGAAAAGCACAUUUUACUACUAUUUGGAAUUCAAGUUUAAAACUGAUUCUUUUAGAUAAAUACUGCAUGAUCUCACUUAUACGUGAAAUCUAAAAUAGUCAAACUCGUAACAGCAGAGAGCAGAACAGUGACUGCCAGAGGUUGAGGGAUUGCAGUUAAUGGGGAGAUGUUGGUCAAAGGGCACAAACUUUCAGCUAUGUGAUGAGUAAGUUCUGUGGACCUAAUGCACAGAAUGGUGACUACAUACUGUAAUAUACUGUAUUAAUACUACUGUACCAUAUACUGCACCAAUUAUCAUUGGUACAAUAAUACUGCACCAAUUAUCAUUGGUACAAUAAUACUGCACCAAUUAUCAUUGGUACAAUAAUACUGCACCAAUUAUCAUUGGUACAAUAAUACUGCACCAAUUAUCAUUGGUACAAUAAUACUGCACCAAUUAUCAUUGGUACAAUAAUACUGCACCAAUUAUCAUUGGUACAAUAAUACUGCACCAAUUAUCAUUGGUACAAUAAUACUGCACCAAUUAUCAUUGGUACAAUAAUACUGCACCAAUUAUCAUUGGUACAAUAAUACUGCACCAAUUAUCAUUGGUACAAUAAUACUGCACCAAUUAUCAUUGGUACAAUAAUACUGCACCAAUUAUCAUUGGUACAAUAAUACUGCACCAAUUAUCAUUGGUACAAUAAUACUGCACCAAUUAUUAUUGGUACAAUAAUACUGUACCAAUAAUACUGACUUCCUGAGUUUUAUCUCAUCAAAGGAAGACCACGGGGCAUCCACUGAUCAUGGCUGAGGUGAUACAACUGCAUAGCAGAGAAAGGACUCAAGGAGUACAAUGGAUUUGGAAGAAUAGAUAAAGAGCCAGACUACCCUGUCCCCCGACUAGAUUCAGAAGCACCUGACUAAGGGAGGGGGAAAGAAUCCGAAAGGAAAGCAAGAAAGCUGAGAGGCUGGUGAGGCCUUGGGAGAGAUGCUGGUAGGACCUGAGAAAGGGCAGGGGCUGGGGAGAAGGAGGGAGGGAAGGGAACACUUCAGACAGAUUUGAGCAUGCAGGGGCAUGCUCCCAAGGAGGGUCUGAGAAAGUAGACAACAUCAGUGUUUCCUGUGCCUUUGUGCGAGGCCAGGGUGGGAGCAGUGUAUAAGUGGGGUACUGAUAUGGUUUGGCUGUAUCCCCACCCAAAUCUCAUUUUGAAUUAUAGCUGCUAUAUUUCCCAUGUGUGGUGGGAGGGGCCUGGUGGGAGGUAAUUGAAUCAUGGGGGUGGCUCUUUCCCAUGCUGUUCUCGUGAUAGUAAAUAAGUCUCUGAUGGUUUUAUAAAGGGGAGUUCCCUGCACAUGCCCUCUUGCCUGUCACCAUGUAAGAUGUGACUAUGCUCCUCCUUCACCUUCCACCAUGAUUGUGAGGCCUCCCCAGCCAUGUGGAACUGUGAGUCCAUUAAACCUCUUUCUUUUAUAAACUACCCAAUCUCGGGUAUGUCCUUAUUAGCAGCGUGAGAAUGGACUAAUACAGGUACUGAGGCAGGUCAGGACUAAAGUCUCACAGAGGACAGAACGAGAGGAAUGAGAGGGCUGCAGGAUGCUUCUCCACAUGCCCCCCAGGUGAUAUUGUUAGGCAGAGAGAAAUAGGCCGGGUCAUCAGGAUGCAACAUUCUCAUCUGCAUUAUUCAAAAAAUAAAUAAUUCUAUCAGCAAAACUAACAUAUUAUGGUUUUAAUGUACAUUUUGUCCACUACUUAAAGAUAAAUAUUUUUUCACAGAUUUAUUAGCUAUUUAAGUCUUUUGUUCUUUUUUAAAUGAAAGAUUUAGCUAUGUUCUUAUUAAUUUGUAAAGAUUCUUCAUAAAGAUGUUACUAUUUGCCAAUAAUAGCAAAUAUUUUCUCAACUUUAUUUUUAUUUUGGUCUUUUAAUGUAAACAUAUUUGUUUCUCUAGAUUCAGGCAAUAUUAUGCUAGCUAUCUAGCAAAUGCUAGUACAGUAUUCAUGAUAUGCUAGCAAGGUACUUCAUUUUAAUUACAUUUUCUCUAAUGUCCUUGGUGUCCCUGAAAGGGGGGGCUUACUAGUCCAUUUUACUGGCAACAAAACUGAUGCUUAGGGCUAAAGAAUUUGUCCAAAGUUAAAGUGCCAGUAUAAGGAAUCCAAAUCCAAGUCUAUUAUGCCAUGUGGGGUUUGGUACAUCUUCUGCAAUUAUAAUAUACAGGCAAAGCAGAGUGCAGAAGGAGCUUCCUGACUGUGGCUUCUUAUACUGGAGGAAGUGGCAAAUUAGUAGAAUAAAGGGACACCGUUUCAAACACUGAGAGAUAUGUAUACAAAGAGUUAAGUAAAUAAUGUAAAUAAUUCUGCACAUAGCAAACAAUGAACAAUAAAUAAUAAUGAACAAUAAACAUGAUCGUUAUUAACCCAAGAGGAGGUUUACAAGCAAAAGUUGUAAAUGUGUUCUGUAAAGGGGUGGAGGAUUGACGAACAUUUGCCUCAAUGAUUAACAGAAUGAAAUCGAUGUUAGUGAAUGAAGUUAAUGAAUGAAGCUAAGCUAAGGUCCAUUAUGGCUAUCUAGGGGCCAUCUCAUUAGAGCCACUGAUGGCAACAGAUACUGUACUGAGAGACCCUGCAGCUGGCUUAGAAGGGUGACUCUCUUACCUUCCACCAGGUUCCAUUCAAACCAGAAAUAACUGUGAAGGGAGCAGGAACUCUGGGCAUCAUUUGCUCAACUACAUAUCACCAGUUUGAAUUGGCUUAGACUUAGAAUCAUAGAAGUUUUUACUCAAGAGGUCACACACAUCUAAUUUUCAGCCCUGUUCCUACACCCUGCCCAUUAUUGUUCUUGAAAAAAGGAAAAAGAAAAAAAAAAGGCUCAGAGAGGUUACACAAUUAUCUUAUGUUCACCCAGCUAGUUCAUUACAAAUCUAGGUCUAGAAUCCCAGUCUUUUAAUUCCCAUUUCAUAGUUCUUUGUUCCAUACAACAUGGUCUAUAGCAUUUCAGCAAAUCUGAUAUUUCUUCCGGCCUGCUUUUCAAAAAGGCGUGGGCUAUAAAGACAUUAUGAACUUACCCAGUAAGGGCUUGGGCAACCACAGAUAUCCCUUUGUUUCUUAACAAUGCUUUGCUUUGUCUGAAGCCAAGCAGGUUUUUUUUAUUGUUUUAAUAAGGCCUACUUUAAUAAGCCUAGUUACUAUUUAUUGAGCACUUAAUAUAUAUCAGGAACUACUGAGAAUUUUACCUACACUAAAUCUUAAAAACAAUCCUAUGAACUAGGUUUUUAAGUAUCUUUUUCACCAACGAGAUACGGUGCUUCAGAGAAAAUAAAUAAAUAUGCUGAUAUGGCAAAUGGCGGAACCAGGAUUUCAGACUCAGGCCCUGGGGCUCAGCCUCAGGAGGUAUCUGGAGGCAGUAAGGUGGUGGCAAAGAGCGCGGCCUCCGAGCGAGCGCGGUCGCUCACGCCUCUAAUCCCAGCACUUUGGGAGUCUGAGGCAGGGGGAUCACGAGGUUAAGAGAUCGAGGUCAUCCUGGCCAACACAGUGAAACCCUGUCUCUACUAAAAAUACAAAAAUUAGCUGGGCGUAGUGGCCGGCGCCUGUAGUCCCAGCUACUCGGGAGGCUGAGGCAAGAGAAUCGCUUGAAUCUCGGAGGCAGAGGUUGCAGUGAGCCCAGAUCGCACCACUGCACUCCAGCCUGGCGACAAAGAGAGACUCUGUCUCAAAAAAAAAAAAAAAAAGAAAAGAAAAGAAAGAAAGAAAAAGAAAGAGUGCAGCACCUGGAAGGGGAAUCCCUGGAAAGAAAGCUUAGUUUCUUCACCAUUUAGUAGCUGUCCGACCUCGAGCAAAGUUACAUACCUUCUCCAGGCCUCAGUCAUCUGCUAUAUAUGUAUAAUGGGAAUGCAAAUACCAAGUAACUACCUCAUGGAGUGGCCCUAAGAAUUAAAUAGGACAAAUCACAUUAAGUUUUAAGCAAAGUGUCCAGAACAUACUCAGAAUUUGAUAUGUAUUACCAAUUAUUAUAAUUAUUAUUACUUGAAUUAUCAGUCUGUUGAUGUAGACCUACUAGAAGGAAAAAAUACCCUCCAAUGCUCUUCUGCCUGCCACGAAGGAAGGCAAGAGAAGUUACUGGACUCCCACUGCUCUAACAUAUGGUCAGAGACAACAGAGAAGCCUUACCUGGGAAUGGGGGCCUAAUUGAAUGACGCUGGCCAGGGUGACUGGGUUCCAGCUGUCGGAUGCUGAGAGGAAGCUUUGGCCAAUCUCCAGAAUGAAUAUGCAUGAACUAUUACUCUAGCUAGGUCUCAGUAUCAUACCCUAUCAGUAUCUCGGGCACACAUGUGUCCAAAGAGCAGAUCUGCCUUCUAGAUAAUGCUACCAUCAGUAACACUGGGCUUCAAAGACAUCACACCGUCAAAACACCAUAACUAUGGUCACCAAACUGCGGAGACCCAGACAAACAUUGAGAGAAGUCAGGCACUAGACCCAGACCCCUGCCUUUGAGAGGGGUCUUAUUUCUGAUCCCUCCAAUGUCAUUCUGUGAAUCCCAUCUUAGCAGACCCCAUUGGAUCUUGAAACAGCCCCAGCCCAGAGACAGUUCACAAUUCAACUUGUCUUGGUUUGUGAUUCAACCUGAUUUUGAGUUACUAAUAGCCCCUGGGGGGGAGCAUGUUCUCCCAAAAGUGAUGUGAUCAUGUUAUCUCUGCCUUAUGGUUUCUUGUACACGAGCCUAAAAGGGGAAAGAGGGGGCACAGAAAGGGGCAGAGGAAGGAAGGGGAGAUAAAUGCAAAUAUUUUGUUCACCGUAAAAAUACAGAAUUUUAUUGACAGGAUCCAAAUACGGUACUUUUAAUGAAUCAUGUAGUCCACCUUCUAUACCUGGUGGUUAGUACAUCCCAUUAAUUCAAAGCCCCAGGUGUACAUAAAAAUCACACAUAACUUUUUUAACAAAUGGCCAGAAACCAUUUAAUAUUGAAGUACUUCUGCCUGGACAUUGACUUUUCAUAUUGAGAAAAUUUCUGAGAGAAUAAGACUCAAACAGAUAGAUAUUGGUAUUGGGACUAUAAGACUACCGUAAAACAACUGCAGAAUCUGAUAAAUCAAGGGAACUAAUUUACUGUUCCAAUCACUCACUUCACAGGUGCCUCAUUUCAAAGUUUAACCCAGGCUCUAAUGUUUAAAUCAAGUUUGUGUAUAAUUUGGGUAAAUAAAAUGCUUUUCUUUACAAAAGAUAUAUGAUCACUCAUAAAAUUUUGCCAGGUAAAUUGCUUAAGAACGCACAGCACUCUUCUAUUAGCAACCUAAGAUCCAAAUCUUGCUAGCUCCAAAGGAAUUUUUUAAAUAAGCAAGAAGAGGAACUGUAGAAGGGACCACGCAAUGGACUGGUUCAAUGACAAUAUCAUUAAAUGACAAGGGCUGAUAAAAUAAAGCCUCGCUACGAUCAUUACCCCAGGGCACAGGAGAAGCACACAUGCUUCUCCUCCUGAGGCCCUCAUGCCCCAGGAAGGAUAGGCAAAGAAACAUGCGUGGUGAGAAAGCAGAAAUCUGAGAGGAUUCUGUAAAAGAACUUGAAUCAUCAAGAUCCUCAUUUUGGCACGGCCCCCACCACUUCUUCCCCUGAUUGGUGUCACAAGUGUCUGGCAUGCACUUUAUGCUACUCACACAACCUGUUUUACUAUAAAAUGGGUAGACUGAAAGAAUGCCUCCUUACAGCUGGCAUUUAUGCAUUUCCUAAUUGUCAUAGUUAAUUUUGUAUGUGUCAACUUGACUGCCACAUGGGAUGUCCGGACAUUUGGCCAAACAUUACAUUCUAGGUAUGUCUCUGAUGGUGUUUCUGCAUGAGAUUAACACUGGAAUUAGCAGACCGGGUAAAGCUGACCACUUUCCCCCGUGUGGGUAGACCCCAUCCAAUCAACUGAAGACUCAAAUAGAACAAGAAGGCUGAGGAAGAGGGAGCCUCUCCUGCAGAACUUCAGUCUUUUCUGGCCUUAGGAUGCAAACUGAAACAUUCAUUCUUCUUGGAUCUUGAUCCUGCCAGCUUUCAGAUCAAAAUUAAUCUAGACGCUGUUGGCUCUGUCUCUCUGAAGAACCCUGACCAAUACACCCAUUUACUGAGAUUGUUUCCAAAAUGAAAUCACACACUCACACAUACACACACACACAAGCAUUUAACAGUGUUACUACUGGGAGAGGAAUUGGGGAGAAAAAAGGGUUUACUUUACAUUUUGAUCACUGUGUACUGUUAAAAUUUUCUAACUUUAUAUAUGUAUUAUUUUUAGUUUAAAAAUAGUAAUAGGAAUUAUCAGGUCAGAAAGAAUGUAUUUCAUUAGUUAUAGUUUCUCUUUUACGUUCUAUAUAAUUGAAAAAAAAUAUUUCUAUAGGUAUAAAUAUAUAAAAAUGCACAGAAAAAGAACUGAAAAGGGAUAUACCAAAUUGGCAAUUACUUCUGGUUUGAGAUUGAGGUGAUGAUAGUCAAGGGUGAGUUCAGCUGUUUUUGUUUGUUUGUUUGUUUGGUUAGUUUUCUUUUCUUGGUAACAUAUGCAUAUUUUACCAGAUAAUAUAAUUAUAUGCUUAUUUAUUGUUAUUCAAGAGAAAGAAAACUAGAUAGUUAUUAUUUUAAAAAUUGUUUCCCAAAAGUCUGAAAAUUUAGAAGUUACAUUCACCAAGCCGUCUUUUUCCUUUGUUUAAUAGUUCUACCAUACAGUUUAUAUAGGUGAAAUGUGGUUUCCUUUGCAAAUGUCAAGGGUUUUUUAACUUGUCUUUUUCAUAGAUCUUGAACCGCCCCCCACCCUGCCCCCCGCAACCAAGUACACAGGAUCACAAGGGGCCUAGCCAUUGCCCGCUAAAAAGCAGCAGCAGUUCUGGUGCUAUGUUUCUGGAAUGGUAGAGAGGGGAAGGGGUUGAUGUAUCCAUCCGGUGUUUUAAACAGAAGUCCUGAUAUAUUCAUAAACAUACAGGCAGGGUCUGAAGGGGAGUAGGAAUGGGUGCUGCCUGGCAACCACCCUCCUCCUUCCUAAGAGCAGACACUCUUUAGCUGCGCUUUUUGUUGGAGCUCACUUUUUAGUUCAAAUCUUGCCCUGUUUGUCUUUACAGAUUUUACCCAUGUGAUAAACACAUAGGAUGAGAAGCACCAUCAGAAGGGAAUUCCUUUUCUCCCCUCUCCCAUGAUUAAAGCAACAUGGAACUGAAUUUCAUGAGUUUCAAUAUAACAACCCUAUUUUUUAAAUUUCUUAUUCUUAAUUGUAGUUAAAAAAACAUAAAACAUAAAAUUUACCAUCUUAACCAUUUGUAGGUAUCUAGUUCAGAAGUAUUAAGUAUAUUCACAUUGCUGGGCCACCAAUGUUUAGAAUGUUUUCAUCUUGUAAAAUGAAACUCAAUAUCCAUUAAAUAACAUCUGUCCAUUUCUUUCUUCACCCAGCACCUGGCAACUACCAUACUGGUUCCUGUCUUUAUGAAUUUGACUACUUUAG